AACAAAGCAGCACAAGUGAGCCAAGGCUGGCAGGUGACAGGGCCAACGAUUUAGAGAUUCAGAGACUGAACUAUUAGAAGAUCAACAAGGAUAAAUGUUUGCAUGAAUAACAAGGGUUUCCAGGGCAGCCUGAACACACUCCCAGGACCCAGGGACACCUGGCCCAACUCCAUGGGUUUCAUUUGCUGUGCUUGCUGCUGACCCCCAUCCUGGAGAACUCCCUGGGACUUCAGAUUUCGGGAUCUGCAGAUUGCAGAGACUUUUCAGGAGUUAGCAGCUAGAUGGACCUUAAUGGAUACUGCACCAGGAAAAAAUGCAUCUUUAGGUAAUUAACAGUGCUGCCUUAACUCCUGAGGCCAUGUGAAUGGAGCACAGAUCAAGCAGUAGGAAUCUCCUAAAUGAUCCUGCUGACAUGCCCUGACAUGCCACCCUCCCUCCCUUCCUCUCAUCUCACAUCCAUGAAAUGCAGACACUCCAUCAGCCAACACCAGUCCAGUGCCCACAGAAAGGGCACAAAAUGCCAGCAUCAAGUAUUUUGUUGUUGUUGUUGUUGUGGACUAAAUGAAUUUUCUUCUCAUUACCAAGGUGACCUGAUUCUGAAUCCUUCACGCAUGACUUCCACAGGGUUUUUACAACAGGAGAUUCCCAGACACUGGGGCAGCUGGGUGUGAGAUGGAUAAAAAGCCGCA